rnacentral:tRNA from 1 species
CUUUAUAUAGGUUAUUUUAAACCGAAGGUUUGUGGUACCUUAAAAAUUCUUUUUGUAAAGC